rnacentral:rRNA from 1 species
CCUACGGGAGGCAGCAGUGGGGAAUCUUAGACAAUGGGCGCAAGCCUGAUCUAGCCAUGCCGCGUGAGCGAUGAAGGCCUUAGGGUUGUAAAGCUCUUUCAGUGGGGAAGAUAAUGACUGUACCCACAGAAGAAGCCCCGGCUAACUCCGUGCCAGCAGCCGCGGUAAUA